rnacentral:rRNA from 1 species
CCUACGGGAGGCAGCAGUGAGGAAUAUUUGUCAAUGGGCUUACGCCUGAACCAGCCAAGUCGCGUGAGGGAAGACUGCCCUAUGGGUUGUAAACCUCUUUUGUCAGGGAGCCACGCCGGCUACGUGUCGCCGGACUGAGAGUACCUGAAGAAAAAGCAUCGGCUAACUCCGUGCCAGCAGCCGCGGUAAUACGGAGGAUGCGAGCGUUAUCCGGAUUUGUUGGGUUUAAAGGGUGCGUAGGCGGCAUGCGAAGUACGCGGGGACAUCGCGGGGCUCAACCUCGCUCCGCCGUUGAAACUGGCUGGCUGGAGUGGGCGAGAAGUAUGCGGAAUGCGUGGUGUAGCGGUGAAAUGCAUAGAUAUCACGCAGAA